CAGAGCUCCAGGACAGGACGGCCCGCCCGGGCCCAUGGGCCCUCCCGGACUCCCUGGUCUCAAAGGCGACCCCGGCUCUAAAGGAGAAAAGGGUCAUCCAGGUCUGAUUGGUUUGAUCGGGCCGCCCGGCGAGCAGGGAGAGAAGGGAGACCGCGGUUUGCCUGGACCUCAAGGAUCCCCCGGUGGAAAAGGAGACAAUGGCAUCGCUGGUGCGUCCGGGCCCCUCGGGCCCCCUGGUCCUCCUGGUUUACCUG